rnacentral:rRNA from 1 species
CUCACUAGUCGAGUCGGCCUGCGCGGAAGAUGUAACGGGGCUCAAACCACACACCGAAGCUGCGGGUGUCACGUAAGUGACGCGGUAGAGGAGCGUUCUGUAAGCCUGUGAAGGUGAGUUGAGAAGCUUGCUGGAGGUAUCAGAAGUGCGAAUGCUGACAUGAGUAACGACAAUGGGUGUGAAAAACACCCACGCCGAAAGACCAAGGGUUCCUGCGCAACGUUAAUCGACGCAGGGUUAGUCGGUUCCUAAGGCGAGGCUGAAAAGCGUAGUCGAUGGGAAACAGGUUAAUAUUCCUGUACUUCUGGUUACUGCGAUGGAGGGACGGAGAAGGCUAGGCCAGCUUGGCGUUGGUUGUCCAAGUUUAAGGUGGUAGGCUGAAAUCUUAGGUAAAUCCGGGGUUUCAAGGCCGAGAGCUGAUGACGAGUCGUCUUUUAGAUGACGAAGUGGUUGAUGCCAUGCUUCCAAGAAAAGCUUCUAAGCUUCAGGUAACCAGGAACCGUACCCCAAACCGACACAGGUGGUCGGGUAGAGAAUACCAAGGCGCUUGAGAGAACUCGGGUGAAGGAACUAGGCAAAAUGGCACCGUAACUUCGGGAGAAGGUGCGCCGGCUAGGGUGAAGGAUUUACUCCGUAAGCUCUGGCUGGUCGAAGAUACCAGGCCGCUGCGACUGUUUAUUAAAAACACAGCACUCUGCAAACACGAAAGUGGACGUAUAGGGUGUGACGCCUGCCCGGUGCCGGAAGGUUAAUUGAUGGGGUUAGCGCAAGCGAAGCUCUUGAUCGAAGCCCCGGUAAACGGCGGCCGUAACUAUAACGGUCCUAAGGUAGCGAAAUUCCUUGUCGGGUAAGUUCCGACCUGCACGAAUGGCGUAACGAUGGCGGCGCUGUCUCCACCCGAGACUCAGUGAAAUUGAAAUCGCUGUGAAGAUGCAGUGUAUCCGCGGCUAGACGGAAAGACCCCGUGAACCUUUACUGUAGCUUUGCACUGGACUUUGAGCCUGCUUGUGUAGGAUAGGUGGGAGGCUUUGAAGCGUGGACGCCAGUUCGCGUGGAGCCAUCCUUGAAAUACCACCCUGGCAUGCUUGAGGUUCUAACUCUGGUCCGUGAUCCGGAUCGAGGACAGUGUAUGGUGGGCAGUUUGACUGGGGCGGUCUCCUCCUAAAGAGUAACGGAGGAGUACGAAGGUGCGCUC